rnacentral:sRNA from 1 species
GAACAUCUUACGGAUGGCCCAGGGCUCCAAAGGCUCGUUUCCUAAGUGAGAGAGAGCCUGGCUGAAGCUGUAUUACCAUUCAUUCUCCAGCCUCCGAAGUCUCAAAGCAUCACUUCCACCAUACUCUAACUGUCAAGACAAACACAAAGGCCCAGACAUUACAUGUAAAUGGAAUCAUACAAUAUGUGAUCUUUUGUGACUGGCUUCUUUCACUUAGCAUAAUGUUUUCAAGAAACUGCCAGACUGUCUUCUGAAGUGGCUAUAAUAUUUACACUCCCAUCAGCAGUGUAGAAGGGGUCUCACUAUGUUGUCUGGAGUGCUGUGGUGGAGUGGAGUGGCUAUUCACAGGAUUCUUGGAAUGGACUGUAAAAGUCUGGAAUCAAGACUUUGUGUUUCCUCUCUAACAUGUAAAGAGCUUAGAAGUUGUCGCUAUUGCCCUUACAACAAAAUGAAGCUGGACAAACUGAAAAUCAAUGACUUUUCUUGGACUCACUAUACAGCUGAGUUUGCAGAGUAAACCACUACCCUGAAAUCUGGAAAGGCAGGUGCACCCACAGAUCCUCAGCUGAGAUCCAAUUACCUGAAAUAGAAGCUGCCAUUAGGAACACUUAAAAGAGCCUGUUCUGCUGGGACACAGAAUCACUUGCUCCAUCUCAUACAUUGAUGAUGAUUAAUUUGUAUGUGUACCUUCCAAAAAAGAUGGUUGUGUUUGAAUGGAGGCCUUCUGGACAGGAAAAUAUGGAGAGUGCGUGCUUUGGAUUCAAGACUGGGAAUGAGGGGACCAGAAACCUAUUCUGUGGCUGUUUCUUGUUAGGACUUUCCUAAGCCUCUGGAAAAGUGCAAAGUACAAUUAACAUUUGAGUCUGUCUGAGUCAUGAAGAAAUGGAGAUUACUGAAAAUAAUUCAUUUUGGUAUCUUCUUACAUCCUGAGAGACUAAUCUUUCCAAGUUCAUCUGAGGCUCCUCUUCUCCAUGACAACCUCAUCCAGGGAUUUCUUCCUGUCCUGGUGUUUUAUGACAUAAUCACAUCCUUCCUGAGAUAAUGAGCACACAAUUGCCUGGAUACCUGAAGGAAUGGAGACAGCGGCAGAAAACACUGCAGAGAGGUGGAAACAUCCGUUAAUAUUUUAAAAUCCCAUUACUGCUACCAACAAUAAUAAUGGAUGCAUAGAAAUAGAUCUGGAUUAGCUGAGCUUGAAACAGUCCAUCUCACACACACACAAAAGAAUUUCAGAUACAGUGAACCCACAUGUUGAAGCUUUCUAGUAUAAUAAAAAUUUCAACUGUUCUGUUGAAUCAUCUGCCUGAUUGGAGGCUACAGAAAAGAUGUCAUCUUAGGAGUGCUUGCUCUGAGUGAGGCUCAUCUUCAAAUCUGAAUGACCACAAGGAGAUUUGAUUAUACAUGUGAACACCUCAGAAGGCACAGCCCACCCAGAAGGCAGACAGGUCAGGCUGCUUUUUCUUCAUUGCUUGGAUUCAAUCCUCCGGGCGGCUCAGGCUCAAACAUAACUUAAGCAUGAUUAAACUUUAGAAGAAGCUGCCAGGAAGACUGUGAAAUCUUCAUGCCCAAGGAUCCCUAAAAUUAGGAGCAACAACCACUUGGCUCAGACGGUUUAUGGAGGCAAAGGUUUGGAUGGGAUUAGAGAUUUCUAAAUGUGAGUUCGUGUCCUCUGCCAGACCACCUUACUUCCACCAUUCCUCAGCAAAUCAAGAAAAACAGGAGAAAAGACAUGCCUUUCCAUAAGUUAAAUCUAUUCUGUUUUAAUUCUAUAUUAUAUCUGCUGUACAACUUCUUUUGUUUGUAACACCAUAUUGUUGCUAGUAACUGGAAAUUAAUUUUCACAUGCCUCAGCUUAGAAAAAUAAAAAGCAGCC